rnacentral:rRNA from 1 species
UACGUAGGGGGCAAGCGUUGUCCGGAAUCAUUGGGCGUAAAGCGCGUGUAGGCGGCCAGGUAAGUCCGUUCUGAAAGCCCGGGGCUCAACCCCGGGAGGCGGAUGGAUACUGCUUGGCUCGAGUCCGGAAGAGGCGAGUGGAAUUCCCGGUGUAGCGGUGAAAUGCGCAGAUAUCGGGAGGAACACCAAUGGCGAAGGCAGCUCGCUGGGACGGUACUGAC